rnacentral:rRNA from 1 species
CAAUGGGCUAUAAAUAUACAAGUGACUACGCGAGGUUGUAACGUUCGUUUACGCCUUUAAAUGUAUGUUUACGGUUUUUCGUUGAGGGAAGGGGUUAUGAAAGUAAAUGUGUUUCAUGGUGAACAUGAAGUUUCGAUGCUAUGGAUUUUCUUAAAAAGAGAAGAUUUGAUUUUUUUUAUGCAAUCAUGAUAUCUAAUCAACACGGAGGAACGAUAUAUUGCCAUGCCAAACCGUAAUCUCCUGAGAGAUUCAUUAAACCGCCGUGGUAAAUAUAGCAAUACCUAAUAUACAAGGCAAGGUUUGUUCAAAAGAAUAACAAUGUAAGUAUACAAGGUAAGGAAUAAUGUAGGAGUAGUACACACAAGGAAAGGAAAGAGUAAAAUCAUUUCAUAAAUGGAAAGAUACAAGUAAAAUCCACAUCUUACUACCGGACAGCACACGUUUUACCCACCCCCAAAGGGCAAAGCGCCAGGCAGCACACAGUCACGACAGGCACAGCAGUAGCAGCAGCGGCGCCAACAACCAAACCGGCCAGCCCAAGAACCCCUCCCCCACCCCGCGCACACGCACACGCACACGCCCACGACUCUGCCUCUCUCUCCCCACCUCCGUUCUCUCAUCCCCCGUCCGUCCCCUACUCCUCCACCCUUCUCCCUUCUUCCAUUUGACCCCGCUCCCCCGUCUCUUCCUCGGCAAAGCUUCGAAUUUUCCUCCCUCCCCCUAUCCCAAGCCUUCCGCUUCCGUGUCCGCGUCCCGUCUUGGAUUCGUCCGCCGCGCAACAAAGAAACCGCGUGCGUGCGUUCGUGCGCGUCGGUUCGGUCCCGUCCCGCCCUUGUUCCUUCCUUGCCGGCCGCUGCUUCGCGCGCAUUGCCGCCCCUCCCCCACCCGCCGGAUUCCUCCGCCCAAUAAGUUGCUUUCCCGGGGACGUUUCUCGGAGGACGGACGGACGGACAGAAACAAGAAACGCCCGCUGCCUCGCCGCAUGGAUCAGGGUCCCCCGCGCUGCCGCCUGGAGCUGGGAUUCCGGGACGCGGGAGUUCAGGGGCGGAGGGGGUUCCGGCCGGACGCCGCCGUCGCCGCGCCGCGGCAGGGCGGGAUCUCGGAGCUCUGUUGAGGCGUUCCCGGUCAGGUGAUUUAGUCCAGUGCUGUCCAGUUCCUCGUGUGGCUGCCUCGCCUGCUUUUUUUAGGUAGGUGGGGGCGGUGGAGCCUUUCUUGGUGGGUGGGAGCGCGCCCCGAAUUUAUUGCGAGGCGUUUCUUGGGUUCACACCUGAAAUCUGACUUCUUCUCGCUCAGAG